rnacentral:rRNA from 1 species
GACGAACGCUGGCGGCGUGCUUAACACAUGCAAGUCGAACGGACAGGCCCUGCUUUUGUGGGGCGCUCGAGUGGCGAACGGGUGAGUAAAACGUGAGUAACCUGCACCUGAAUUUGGGAUAAAUCUAGGAAACUGGGGCUAAUACCGGAUAGGAGCUCUUGCUGCAUGGUGGGGGUUGGAAAGUUUCGGCGGUUGGGGAUGGACUCGCGGCUUAUCAGCUUGUUGGUGGGGUAGUGGCUUACCAAGGCUUUGACGGGUAGCCGGCCUGAGAGGGGGACCGGCCACAAUGGGACUGAGAUACGGCCCAGACUCCUACGGGAGGCAGCGGUGGGGAAUAUUGCACAAUGGGCGGAAGCCUGAUGCAGCGACGCCGCGUGCGGGAUGACGUCCUUCGGGUUGUAAACCGCUUUCGCCUGUGACGAAGCGUGAGUGACGGUAAUGGGUAAAGAAGCACCGGCUAACUACGUG